GCAUCAACUGACUCCCCUUUCUCACGUGAAAAUUCAGUUUCGGGACUUCCGGAGAUUCACACUCUCCCUCAACUCCUCCGGCGAAUCCCUGUCCCACCCGGACGGCGAACAGUAAGUUUCUCCCGCGAAUUUGAAGCCACCGCUGACUUCACCCUGUUCUUCACAGAAAUCUUGUCAAACCGCCCUUAACCCCGGAAAAUCCGGCGCUGUUCGCCUGUUCAGUCCUUUUCCAGUUAACCACUCCUUCCGUCGUUGCUCAGCAUAAGUAUGUUGACAAGAACGGAUUACCUUGUCAUGGUCCACAACACAAGGCAGCUGGAACUCGUGCUAUGCAUGCUCCAUAUAUCUUUGAGGAUCUUCUCCCGUUUGUUCACUUUCUGUUAUAUGUCGGUGAAUCUGUGGAGACCAUAAUGCAGAGACACAAUGAAUCAGUCGAAAACAGGGGGGUCCUUUUAAUCGUGAUGCUUCUAACACAUAGGUAUGUGAGGAGACAAGAGAAAAGAAUACAUCGAUCCAAGUAUGAACUAGAAGUUGGUGAUGCUGUCAGCCUAAACAUGUGGGCUGAAAGUCAUCCAACGUGUGUUUUUUAUAUCAGGACUUCUCUGAGUCUGAUCUGUUCAUAAGUUGGAAUUCAAACAGAGUGGUAGUUGCAGCAAAUGAUUUGAUUUGGUAAAGGUGGUCUUUUAGCUUCUGACUCAAGAUUUGGCACAAACAAAUUUAAGGGUUUUGGGCCACUAGGCCCUUCCUCUUGCCAGCCAGGAGAUGAGCGCAAUAAUAGAGGUUUAUCACCGUCAGAUAAAUGUUAUAUUAGUUAAUGAGAAGGAUCCCAGUGUAUGUCAACAUGUAGAUUGGUUGGUUGAUAAGCUGGCUACAGAAGUGCACUCUUACUUUUGGGUUGAUGAGUAUUGAGCAAAGCAUGAUUUCACCCGAUACUGGAGAGAUCACUGGAUGGAUGGGUUAACAUUGUGGCGCAGUUCAUUGGAGAUCAUGUUAUUUUGGAAGGUCAAUGUGCCAAAGUCAAUGACCAACAAGAUCAAGACAAAUUCUACUCAGUAUCAAAACCCUGGUUCUGAAUUUUCAAUUCCGAUUGCACACUAUCAAAAAGGGGUAAUUUAUGUGAGCAUGAUUGUAAGGUUAGCUGGAUGUGUGCAAAAAUGAAUCUUCUAAGCCUUCCCUCAGUUUGUACCAAUACAAGCAAGCACUGAUCAAAUGCUUAGUUGCACGACUCACGAUUCUUUGAUCCGUGAUCAUGCUGUUUUGCUCAUGGCUUUUCUACAGACGCAGCUUAAAGCUUUAGCAGGUUUUUGCAGCAAUGAGAGAAUGAUCAAUGAGACUGACCAGUUGAAAGUUCUACAGGAGGUCAAAAAAUCCUCGUCCACAGUUGAGCCUCAUCCAGUGGAGAACGAAAAACCUCACGUGAUUGUGAUUAAGAUGAUUGUAAGACAGUUGAACGUCUUUGUUAGAAAGACAAUAUGAAAUUGGUGAUUAAGUAGUAAGACAAUUGCAGGUGAUAAGAACAAAGAUUGUGCAAUUAUUGAUUUGAAGAACCAUGACAGAAAAGCAGCAUAUAACCAAACUCCCAGUAAAGGUACAGGUACAGGUGUAUUUAUCUUAUUAUUUCACAGUUGAUUAUGUUUGUUUACUGAAUAAGGUAGUUUGAUUGAGAAGUAAUUUGCCGAGUCAUGUUGAGCUGAACACCCUGGUAGGAAACGACUCAAGUAGACUUCACUGGGGCUACUACUGUUUCGAAGAGGUAGGAUUUGAGCUCAUUCAUAAGCUAUGAGAUUUAUGUUGUCUGGCAUGUGUGCUGUUUUUGAGGACUAAAUGAGGGGAACCACACAGUAUACUGUUAGAACAAACUGUGGCUCUUGAAAAAAAGGGUGUGUUAAAUCUCCGAACUUGCAAAUCCGUAAUGGAUUUGACUACAAAGUUACGGGGAAGAGCAACUGAGCAAGUGGGAAUCGGACUUGCUAUCGCCGAGCUAUCUGGCGCGAUGAAAGAAAUACCCAAAUGUAAUUUUGGUUUUUCACUUUUUUGAAUAUAACUAAUGUGGAGUAUAGAACUUUUGUUGGGUUCAGUAAGUAAUAAGAUAUGCUCAAAAUCAUAGCAUAUUUUAAUGUUUAGAAUUGAUGAAAGAUGGGGUUGCCAUACAUAAUAAUCAAUGUUGUUUUGACAGUACUUGUAUCGCUGUUUUAAGAGUACUUGUGUAUGAAAGAUUCUAUGAAACACUUGGCCAUUUCUAUA